AUUGAACGCUGGCGGAAUGCUUUACACAUGCAAGUCGAACGGUAGAGGGGGCAACCCCUCGAGAGUGGCGAACGGGUGAGUAAUAUAUCGGAACGUGCCCAGUCGUGGGGGAUAACGUAGCGAAAGUUACGCUAAUACCGCAUACGAUCUAUGGAUGAAAGCGGGGGAUCGCAAGACCUCGCGCGAUUGGAGCGGCCGAUAUCAGAUUAGGUAGUUGGUGGGGUAAAGGCCCACCAAGCCAACGAUCUGUAGCUGGUCUGAGAGGACGACCGGCCACACUGGAACUGAGACACGGUCCAGACUCCUACGGGAGGCAGCAGUGGGGAAUUUUGGACAAUGGGCGAAAGCCUGAUCCAGCCAUUCCGCGUGCAGGAUGAAGGCCCUCGGGUUGUAAACUGCUUUUGUACAGAACGAAAAGGUUUCUACUAAUACUAGAAGCUCAUGACGGUACUGUAAGAAUAAGCACCGGCUAACUACGUGCCAGCCGCCGCCGCGG
rnacentral:rRNA from 1 species